AGUGAACGCUGGCGGUAGGCCUAACACAUGCCAGUCGAACGGCAGCACAGUAAGAGCUUGCUCUUACGGGUGGCGAGUGGCGGACGGGUGAGGAAUACAUCGGAAUCUACUUUUUCGUGGGGGAUCACGUAGGGAAACUUACGCUAAUACCGCAUACGACCUACGGGUGAAAGCAGGGGAUCUUCGGACCUUGCGCGAUUGAAUGAGCCGAUGUCGGAUUAGCUAGUUGGCGGGGUAAAGGCCCACCAAGGCGACGAUCCGUAGCUGGUCUGAGAGGAUGAUCAGCCACACUGGAGCUGAGACACGGUCCAGGCUCCUACGGGAGGCAGCAGUGGGGAAUAUUGGACAAUGGGCGCAAGCCUGAACCAGCCAAACCGCGUGGGUGAAGAAGGCCUUCGGGUGGUAAAGCCCUUUUGUUGGGAAAAAAAAGCAGCAGGUUAAUACCCCGCUGUUCUGACGGUACCCAAAGAAUAAGCACCGGCUAACUUCGG
rnacentral:rRNA from 1 species